rnacentral:rRNA from 1 species
GACAGAGGGGGCAAGCGUUGCUCGGAAUCACUGGGCGUAAAGGGCGCGUAGGCGGGAUGGCAAGUCGGUCGUGAAAUCCUUCGGCUCAACCGAAGAACGUCGGCCGAUACUGCCGUUCUUGAGGGAUGCAGAGGAGAUUGGAAUUCCCGGUGUAGCAGUGAAAUGUGUAGAGAUCGGGAGGAACACCGGUGGCGAAGGCGGGUCUCUGGGCAUCUCCUGACGCUGAGGCGCGAAAGCGUGGGGAGCAAACGGG